UAUGUCCAGGGUAGCCUAGUGGGCAUGGCAUCUGCCCGGUAAGCGGAAGGCCGUGGGUUCGAUUCCCAUCCCCAUAG
rnacentral:tRNA from 1 species